UGGCAUUGUGCUUCCAAAUGCAGUGAAUUCAGGCCGUUGGCUCCUGGUCUUCUUAGUUCCUGUGCUAGGGGAGUGAGAUGUGUCGGUUACUGACACUGAACACUGAUUGCUUCC